rnacentral:rRNA from 1 species
AACGCUAGCUACAGGCUUAACACAUGCAAGUCGAGGGGUAACAAGAGAAAAGCUUGCUUUUCUUGUUGACGACCGGCGCACGGGUGAGUAACGCGUAUCCAACCUGCCUAUAACUAGGGAAUAACCUUGCGAAAGUAAGACUAAUACCCUAUGAUUUCCUUUGAUGACAUCAGAUUAGGAAUAAAGAUUUAUCGGUUAUAGAUGGGGAUGCGUCUGAUUAGCUUGUUGGCGGGGUAACGGCCCACCAAGGCAACGAUCAGUAGGGGUUCUGAGAGGAAGGUCCCCCACAUUGGAACUGAGACACGGUCCAAACUCCUACGGGAGGCAGCAGUGAGGAAUAUUGGUCAAUGGGCGGAAGCCUGAACCAGCCAAGUAGCGUGCAGGAUGACGGCCCUAUGGGUUGUAAACUGCUUUUAUACAGGAAUAAAGUUAACCACGUGUGGUUAUUUGUAGGUACUGUAUGAAUAAGGACCGGCUAAUUCCGUGCCAGCAGCCGCGGUAAUACGGAAGGUCCAGGCGUUAUCCGGAUUUAUUGGGUUUAAAGGGAGCGUAGGCCGUCUGUUAAGCGUGUUGUGAAAUGUAGAUGCUCAACAUCUGAAUUGCAGCGCGAACUGGCAGACUUGAGUGUGCGCAACGUAGGCGGAAUUCGUGGUGUAGCGGUGAAAUGCUUAGAUAUCACGAAGAACUCCGAUUG